ACGCUAGCUACAGGCUUAACACAUGCAAGUCGAGGGGCAGCAUGGUCUUAGCUUGCUAAGGCCGAUGGCGACCGGCGCACGGGUGAGUAACACGUAUCCAACCUGCCGUCUACUCUUGGACAGCCUUCUGAAAGGAAGAUUAAUACAAGAUGGCAUCAUGAGUCCGCAUGUUCACAUGAUUAAAGGUAUUCCGGUAGACGAUGGGGAUGCGUUCCAUUAGAUAGUAGGCGGGGUAACGGCCCACCUAGUCUUCGAUGGAUAGGGGUUCUGAGAGGAAGGUCCCCCACAUUGGAACUGAGACACGGUCCAAACUCCUACGGGAGGCAGCAGUGAGGAAUAUUGGUCAAUGGGCGAGAGCCUGAACCAGCCAAGUAGCGUGAAGGAUGACUGCCCUAUGGGUUGUAAACUUCUUUUAUAAAGGAAUAAAGUCGGGUAUGGAUACCCGUUUGCAUGUACUUUAUGAAUAAGGAUCGGCUAACUCCGUGCCAGCAGCCGCGGUAAUACGGAGGAUCCGAGCGUUAUCCGGAUUUAUUGGGUUUAAAGGGAGCGUAGAUGGAUGUUUAAGUCAGUUGUGAAAGUUUGCGGCUCAACCGUAAAAUUGCAGUUGAUACUGGAUAUCUUGAGUGCAGUUGAGGCAGGCGGAAUUCGUGGUGUAGCGGUGAAAUGCUUAGAUAUCACGAAGAACUCCGAUUGCGAAGGCAGCCUGCUAAGCUGCAACUGACAUUGAGGCUCGAAAGUGUGGGUAUCAAACAGGAUUAGAUACCCUGGUGGUCCACACGGUAAACGAUGAAUACUCGCUGUUUGCGAUAUACUGCAAGCGGCCAAGCGAAAGCGUUAAGUAUUCCACCUGGGGAGUACGCCGGCAACGGUGAAACUCAAAGGAAUUGACGGGGGCCCGCACAAGCGGAGGAACAUGUGGUUUAAUUCGAUGAUACGCGAGGAACCUUACCCGGGCUUAAAUUGCAGAUGAAUUACGGUGAAAGCCGUAAGCCGCAAGGCAUCUGUGAAGGUGCUGCAUGGUUGUCGUCAGCUCGUGCCGUGAGGUGUCGGCUUAAGUGCCAUAACGAGCGCAACCCUUGUUGUCAGUUACUAACAGGUUCCGCUGAGGACUCUGACAAGACUGCCAUCGUAAGAUGUGAGGAAGGUGGGGAUGACGUCAAAUCAGCACGGCCCUUACGUCCGGGGCUACACACGUGUUACAAUGGGGGGUACAGAGGGCCGCUACCACGCGAGUGGAUGCCAAUCCCCAAAACCUCUCUCAGUUCGGACUGGAGUCUGCAACCCGACUCCACGAAGCUGGAUUCGCUAGUAAUCGCGCAUCAGCCACGGCGCGGUGAAUACGUUCCCGGGCCUUGUACACACCGCCCGUCAAGCCAUGGGAGCCGGGGGUACCUGAAGUGCGUAACCGCGAGGAGCGCCCUAGGGUAAAACUGGUGACUGGGGCUAA
rnacentral:rRNA from 1 species